AUUGAACGCUGGCGGCAGGCCUAACACAUGCAAGUCGAGCGGAGCGGCGGACGGGUGAGUACUGCCUAGGAAUCUGCCUGUUAGUGAUGGAUCACGUCCGGCAACGUGCCCUAAUACCGCAUCCUAUCAGAUGAGCCUAGGUCGGAUUAGCUGGUGGGUGGGGUAAUGGCCUACCAAGGCGACGAUCCGUAACUGGCCUGAGAGGAUGAUCAGUCAGACUGGAACUGAGACACGGUCCAGACUCCUACGGGAGGCAGCAGUGGGGAAUAUUGGACAAUGGGCGAAAGCCUGAUCCAGCCAUGCCGCGUGUGUGAAGAAGGUCUUCGGAUUGUAAAGCACUUUAAGUUGGGAGGCGUUACCAACAGAAUAAGCACCGGCUAACUUCGUGCCAGCAGCCGCGGUAAUAC
rnacentral:rRNA from 1 species